GACGAACGCUGGCGGCGUGCUUAACACAUGCAAGUCGAACGGAAAGGCCCUGCUUUUGUGGGGUGCUCGAGUGGCGAACGGGUGAGUAACACGUGAGUAACCUGCCCUUGACUUUGGGAUAACUUCAGGAAACUGGGGCUAAUACAGGAUAGGAGCUCCUGCUGCAUGGUGGGGGUUGGAAAGUGUCGGCGGUUGGGGAUGGACUCGCGGCUUAUCAGCUUGUUGGUGGGGUAGUGGCUUACCAAGGCUUUGACGGGUAGCCGGCCUGAGAGGGUGACCGGCCACAUUGGGACUGAGAUACGGCCCAGACUCCUACGGGAGGCAGCAGUGGGGAAUCUUGCACAAUGGGCGGAAGCCUGAUGCAGCAACGCCGCGUGCGGGAUGACGGCCUUCGGGUUGUAAACCGCUUUCGCCUGUGACGAAGCGUGAGUGACGGUAAUGGGUAAAGAAGCACCGGCUAACUACGUG
rnacentral:rRNA from 1 species